GAAACGGCCACGCACAACUGUUGGGGCCUGAGGUGUCCUUUUCUCGGCGCUUGGCAUCCUGCUCCGGCCGUGGGGCUGGGGUAGCCAGAAGAAGAGUUAGCGUUGGUGUUCGAAGCCAAGUCAGAACAGGACAUCGACUUUUCCACUGGGGACAGUAAGAGCUAGGUAACAGAAUCCUCAAGUGAGUGAAAAUCCUUCCCACCAGUAUUUGCGCUUUCACUAGACCCAGUCAAGAACCUGGAAGAGCAGAAGGAAAAGGUUUAUUUUUCCUCCCCUCCAAUAUAUUUAAGGAAAAAAUAAAAACGUUAAUAAUAGAAGCCUCUGUCACUUCCUACUGCCUCCAAGUAUCCCCUCCCUGUCGCAUGAUGGUCUCUCUACCUACGAGGUAACUACCAUCCUGAAUUUUGCAUUAAUCAUUCUCCAGUUUUCCUUUCUCAGUGGUUCUCAAGCCGUUAGAAUCACCGAAAGAGCUUGUUAAAACAUGAAUUUCUGGGUUCCACUCCCCAAGUUCUGAUACAGUAGAUCUGGGGCGAGGCCCAAGAAUUUGUGCCUCUUGUAAAUUCUCAUGUGGUGCCGAU
ensembl:lncRNA